rnacentral:tRNA from 1 species
UCCCUGAUGGUCCAUUGGCUAAGACUCCAGGCUCCUGAUGCAGAGGGUCCAGGUUCAAUCCCUGGUGAGGGAA